rnacentral:rRNA from 1 species
GACGAACCGUGCGAACGUUGUUCGGAAUCACUGGGCUUAAAGGGCGCGUAGGCGGCAGCGUUAGUCCGGGGUGAAAGCCCCCAGCUUAACUGGGGAAGGGCCUUGGAUACUGCGUUGCUCGAGGGAGGUAGGGGUCGAGGGAACUUCUGGUGGAGCGGUGAAAUGCGUUGAUAUCAGAAGGAACGCCGGUGGCGAAAGCGCUCGACUGGACCUUUUCUGACGCUGAGGCGCGAAAGCUAGGGGAGCAAACGGG